UACGAAGGGGCUAGGCGUUGCUCGGAAUCACUGGGCGUAAAGCGCACGUAGGCGGAUUGCUAAGUCAGGGGUGAAAUCCUGGGAGCUCAACUCCAGAACUGCCUUUGAUACUGGCGACCUUGAGUCCGGGAGAGGUGAGUGGAACUGCGAGUGUAGAGGUGAAAUUCGUAGAUAUUCGCAAGAACACCAGUGGCGAAGGCGGAC
rnacentral:rRNA from 1 species